CACGUAGGGGCCAAGCGUUGUCCGGAUUUACUGGGCGUAAAGGGCGCGCAGGCGGCUAGUUUUGUCGAGUGUGAAAGCCCCGGGCUUAACCUGGGAACUGCGCUCGAAACGGGCUGGCUAGAGAUCGGGAGAGGAGAGUGGAAUUCCUGGUGUAGCGGUGAAAUGCGCAGAUAUCAGGAAGAACACCCGUGGCGAAGGCGGCUCUCUGGUACGUGACUGACGCUGAGACGCGAAAGCGUGGGGAGCAAACAGG
rnacentral:rRNA from 1 species